rnacentral:rRNA from 1 species
GACGAACGCUGGCGGCGUGCCUAACACAUGCAAGUCGAACGAAGCUUGAUUUCUGAUUUUUUCGGAAUGACGAAUGAUAUGACUGAGUGGCGGACGGGUGAGUAACGCGUGAGCAACCUGCCCUUCGGAACGGGAUAGUGUCUGGAAACGGACAGUAAUACCGUAUAACAUAUAUUGAUCGCAUGGUUGAUAUAUCAAAACUGAGGUGCCGAAGGAUGGGCUCGCGUCUGAUUAGAUAGUUGGUGGGGUAACGGCCUACCAAGUCGACGAUCAGUAGCCGGACUGAGAGGUUGAACGGCCACAUUGGGACUGAGACACGGCCCAGACUCCUACGGGAGGCAGCAGUGGGGAAUAUUGCACAAUGGGGGAAACCCUGAUGCAGCAACGCCGCGUGAAGGAAGACGGUUUUCGGAUUGUAAACUUCUGUUCUUAGUGAAGAAUAAUGACGGUAGCUAAGGAGCAAG